rnacentral:misc_RNA from 1 species
GCUUGGCAACCAUUCAAAUAUGUAUGCUGGAGCAGCCCCCGAUUUGUGGGGUGAUUACAGC